CGUGAGUGAUGAAGGCUUUCGAGUCGUAAAGCUCUGUCAAGUGGGAAGAACCUAUCAAAUGUUAAUAUCAUUUGGUACUGACGGUACCACUGAAGGAAGCACCGGCUAACUCCGUGCCAGCAGCCGCGGUAAUACGGGGGGUGCAAGCGUUACUCGGAAUUAUUGGGCGUAAAGGGCGCGCAGGCGGCCAAGUAAGUCAGAUGUGAAAGCCCGGGGCUCAACCCCGGAAGUGCAUUUGAAACUACUUGGCUUGAGUAUGGGAGAGGAAAGUGGAAUUCCUGGUGUAGAGGUGAAAUUCGUAGAUAUCAGGAGGAACACCGGUGGCGAAGGCGACUUUCUGGACCAAUACUGACGCUGAGGCGCGAAGGCGUGGGGAGCAAACAGGAUUAGAUACCCUGGUAGUCCACGCAGUAAACGUUGUUCACUAGGUGUAGCGGGUAUUGACCCCUGCUGUGCCGCAGCUAACGCAUUAA
rnacentral:rRNA from 1 species